rnacentral:miRNA from 1 species
GGUUUCUCUGUGUAGCCCUGGCUGUCCUGGAACUUGCUCUGUAGACCAGGCUGGCCUCAAACUUACAGAGAGAUUCACCUGCCUCUGCCUCCCAAGUGCUGGGAUUAAAGGCGUGCGCCACCACUGCCC